GAGAACGUCUGGGGCAGGUGGCCAGCGGGCCGCACUUAUAGCGGGAGCCUGCGUCAGGCGCGCCCUGGCCAAUCAGCGCCGUGGGCCGCCCAGACCCGCCUCUUCCGGGGAAAAAAAAAAUCUGCGCAUAUUCUUUAGAUUCUGUUGAAGGCAGCGUGGAAAGUGCCUGGAGGGAAGUCAGUACUACAGCAAACCGGGCUUCUCUGUGCAGCAGUUACGGCUGUUCUGGAACUCACUUCGUAAACCCGGCUAGCCACUGCCUCCCUGGUGCUGGGAUUAAAGAAAGGAAGACACCAAAGGACAAUUUCACCAGUGUUAACGAGGCCAAGAUGACGUUAUUCAAGGCUACCCCAACAACAGCAGAGAGACUAAAAGUCUCAUUGUAUAGUCCAGACUGGUAUAAAACUUGACGUACGGACUAGGCUGGCCUUGAAUGUGCAUCUCCCCUCCUACCUGUGGGAGUCUGGGUACGUGCUACCACAUCCCGCCGUCAGGGGAUUUAUUAUGAAGGAAUGCCGAAUCAAAUAAAAU